rnacentral:rRNA from 1 species
ACAUGCAAGUCGUGCGAGAAAGCACCUUCGGGUGCGAGUAGAGCGGCGGACGGGUGAGUAACGCGUAGGAAUCUACCUAGUAGAAGGGGAUAGCCCGGGGAAACUCGGAUUAAUACCGUAUACCUCCUUAGGGAGAAAGAGGGCUUAGCUUUGAUGCUCUCGCUAUUAGAUGAGCCUGCGUAAGAUUAGCUUGUUGGUGAGGUAAAGGCUCACCAAGGCGACGAUCUUUAGCUGGUCUGAGAGGACGAUCAGCCACAUUGGGACUGAGACACGGCCCAGACUCCUACGGGAGGCAGCAGUGGGGAAUAUUGGACAAUGGGCGCAAGCCUGAUCCAGCCAUACCGCGUGUGUGAAGAAGGCUUUCGGGUUGUAAAGCACUUUAAGUAAGGAGGAAAAGAUUGUAGUUAAUACCUGCAAUC